rnacentral:lncRNA from 1 species
AGUUGAGAAGCAAUGCUGUUUCACCUCCCUGAGAGAAUUGCCUUGUUUGUGAAAUACUACAGAAAAACCUGUAUUUUCUCCAGAAAAUGAAAGGUCUUGGCCUGAGUAAAUCAAGGCAGAAAACUCACCCCCGUGAAAGCUGCAGCUCUGAGAGUGUGUGGGCAGGGCUUCAACAGAAUACCUGUGGCUGCACUUACAAAAGGCAGCCAGAAGGACCCGUCCAUUCUGGAAAGUACCUUUAGUCUGAAAGCAUUUAUUGCAGAAAAAAUAUGAGGCUUGCUGGUAGUAUUCCCAGGUGACAAAUGUGCACCCAACACCCUACAGAAAAGAAGAACCAUAAAAUAAUUAAUUAUUCCAUUGUAACUCCUGCCUGGAAAACAUCUGAAAGAAGUCACUAGAUUCAGCCCACAUUCAAGAUGAGAAAUACCAGAAGGCAGAGAACACUGAGGCUGUUUUAGAGGCUGUCAACCCCAGGGAGACAGACAGCAAAUAAGUAAGCAAAUAAAUAAAAAUGGAAGGUGAUAAUAAGUGCAAUGAAAAGAAAUGAAGCAGAGUAAAGAAUCAAGAGUAGCAGUUGAGGGGAUGCUUGGAUGUUUUCACACCACUCUGACACAUGGAUGGAAGGUUAGAAGACAACAAAGGAAUGGGCUGGGAAGGACUCCAAAAGCAGAAUCAGAGAUUAUAUCAUUCCUUGGAAAUGGAGAAAAGGAUCAAAAAAGCUGAAUAAAAGGCAAACAUGGAGGAACAGAGUUUGGAGCAAUACCCUGACUUACAUUCAGUACUGUUAAUGGCUCCAGCAUCUUGAAACAAACCAAUUUUGGAUUUUCAGUUUAAUUGUUAUUCUUGAGAAGUCGG